rnacentral:rRNA from 1 species
GACGAACGCUGGCGGCGUGCUUAACACAUGCAAGUCGUACGGUAAGGCCCUUUCGGGGGUACACGAGUGGCGAACGGGUGAGUAACAUGUGAGUAACCUGCCCACAACUUUGGGAUAACGCUAGGAAACUGGUGCUAAUACUGGAUAUGUGCUCCUGCUGCAUGGUGGGGGUUGGAAAGCUCCGGCGGUUGUGGAUGGACUCGCGGCCUAUCAGCUUGUUGGUGGGGUAGUGGCCUACCAAGGCGGCGACGGGUAGCCGGCCUGAGAGGGUGACCGGCCAAAUUGGGACUGAGAUACGGCCCAGACUCCUACGGGAGGCAGCAGGGGGGAAUAUUGCACAAUGGGCGCAAGCCUGAUGCAGCAACGCCGCGUGCGGGAUGACGGCCUUCGGGUUGUAAACCGCUUUCAGCAGGGACGAAGCUUUUUGUGACGGUACCUGCAGAAGAAGCACCGGCUAACUACGUG